UCGCUUGCAGUGUCCGCGCCCCCGCCCUCCCGCAGCCGCUGCCCGGGGCAUUGGCCCCCAGACCCCCGCCCCUGAUCCGCGCCCACACGCUAGCGCCCGGGGACCAUGGCUGGCCAAGGGGACUGCUGCGUCAAGGUGGCCGUCAGGAUCCGGCCCCAGCUUUCAAAGGAGAAGAUUGAGGGCUGUCAUAUCUGUACCUCCGUCACCCCAGGGGAGCCUCAGGUCCUGCUGGGGAAGGACAAGGCCUUCACCUAUGAUUUUGUCUUUGACCUGGACACAUGGCAGGAACAAAUCUAUUCCACCUGUGUGAGCAAGCUCAUUGAGGGCUGCUUCGAGGGUUACAAUGCUACGGUAUUGGCCUAUGGGCAGACAGGAGCCGGGAAGACAUACACUAUGGGCACUGGCUUUGAUACCACGUCGGAGGAAGAACAGGGCAUCAUCCCAAGGGCCAUUGCGCACCUCUUCAGUGGCAUCGCUGAGCGCAAGCGGAGGGCACAGGAGCAGGGCAUGGCUGGGCCUGAGUUCAAAGUCAGCGCUCAGUUCCUUGAGCUCUACAAUGAGGAGAUCCUUGAUCUGUUUGAUAGCACCCGUGACCCCGAUGCCCGCCACCGCAGGUCCAACAUCAAGAUUCAUGAAGAUGCCAAUGGUGGCAUCUACACCACAGGUGUCACUUCUCGCCUCAUCAGCUCACAGGAGGAGCUGAUCCAGUGCUUGAAGCAGGGUGCCCUGUCACGCACCACAGCCAGCACCCAGAUGAAUGUACAGAGUUCCCGCUCCCAUGCCAUCUUUACCAUUCACCUGUGCCAGAUGCGCGUGUGUGCCCAGCCCGACCUGGUGAAUGAGACGGUGACAGGGCUUCCAGAUGGAGCAGCCCCGACAAGCACUGAAUAUGAGACACUCACUGCUAAGUUUCACUUUGUGGACCUGGCUGGCUCCGAGCGGCUGAAGCGGACAGGGGCUACUGGCGAGCGGGCCAAGGAGGGCAUCUCAAUCAACUGUGGUCUGCUGUCCUUGGGCAAUGUGAUCAGUGCCUUGGGGGACCAGAGCAAGAAGGUGGUACACGUGCCCUACAGGGACUCCAAGCUCACUCGGCUCCUCCAGGACUCUCUGGGGGGCAACAGCCAAACCAUCAUGAUUGCCUGUGUGAGCCCCUCGGAUCGGGACUUCAUGGAGACGCUCAACACUCUGAAAUAUGCCAAUCGGGCUCGCAACAUCAAGAACAAGGUGGUGGUGAACCAGGACAAGACCAGCCAGCAGAUCAGCGCCCUGCGGGCGGAGAUCGCACGCCUGCAGAUGGAGCUGAUGGAGUAUAAGGCAGGCAAGCGGGUGAUUGGGGAGGAUGGUGCCGAGGGCUACAGUGAUUUGUUUCGGGAGAAUGCCAUGCUACAGAAGGAGAACGGGGCCCUGCGGCUGCGGGUGAAGGCCAUGCAGGAGGCCAUCGACGCCAUCAACAACCGUGUCACACAACUCAUGAGCCAGGAGGCCAACCUGCUUCUGGCCAAGGCUGGAGAUGGCAAUGAGGCCAUCGGUGCUCUAAUCCAGAACUAUAUCCGGGAGAUUGAGGAGCUGAGGACAAAGCUCUUGGAGAGUGAGGCCAUGAACGAAUCCCUCCGCCGUAGCCUCUCUCGGGCUUCAGCUAGGAGCCCGUAUUCUCUGGGAGCGUCUCCGGCUGGCCCAGCUUUUGGAGGCAGCCCUGCCAGCUCCAUGGAGGAUGCUUCUGAGGUGAUCCGCAGGGCCAAGCAGGACCUGGAGCGGCUAAAGAAGAAGGAGGUUAGGCAGCGCAGGAAGAGCCCAGAGAAGGAAGCCUUCAAAAAGAGGGCAAAACUCCAACAGGAAAACAGUGAGGAGACUGAUGAGAAUGAGGCCGAGGAGGAGGAGGAAGAGCGAGACGAGAGUGGCUGUGAGGAGGAGGAAGGGCGUGAGGAUGAGGACGAGGACUCGGGCAGCGAGGAGAGCCUGGUGGACUCAGACUCAGACCCCGAGGAGAAGGAGGUGAACUUCCAGGCGGACUUGGCGGACCUGACGUGCGAGAUCGAGAUCAAGCAGAAGUUGAUUGACGAGCUGGAGAACAGCCAGCGGCGGCUGCAGACCCUCAAGCACCAGUACGAGGAGAAGCUCAUCCUCCUGCAGAACAAGAUCCGCGACACGCAGCUGGAGCGCGACCGGGUGCUGCAGAACCUCAGCACCAUGGAAUGCUACACAGAGGAGAAGGCCAACAAGAUCAAGGCCGACUAUGAGAAGAGGCUACGGGAGAUGAACCGGGACCUACAGAAGCUACAGGCGGCUCAGAAGGAGCACGCCCGGCUGCUCAAGAACCAGUCGCGCUACGAGAGGGAACUGAAGAAGUUGCAGGCAGAGGUGGCUGAGAUGAAGAAAGCCAAGGUGGCCCUCAUGAAGCAGAUGCGGGAGGAACAGCAGCGGCGGCGCCUGGCCGAGACCAAGAGAAACCGGGAGAUUGCUCAGCUCAAGAAGGAGCACAGGCGGCAGGAGUUUCAGAUCCGGGCUCUGGAGUCUCAGAAGAGGCAACAGGAAAUAGUUCUGAGGAGGAAAACUCAAGAGGUUUCCGCACUGAGGCGCCUGGCAAAGCCCAUGUCUGAGCGGGUAGCAGGGCGUGUAGGAGUGAAGCCACCCAAUUUGGAUUCCGGGGCCGAGGUUUCUGCCAGCACUACCUCAUCAGAGGCUGAAUCUGGGGCCCGCUCGGUCUCCAGCAUCGUGCGUCAGUGGAACCGCAAGAUCAACCACUUCCUAGGGGACCACCCUGCAACCUCCGUCAAUGGCACCCGCCCAGCCAGGAAAAAGUUCCAGAAGAAAGGGGCCAGCCAGAGCUUCAGCAAGGCCGCAAGGCUCAAGUGGCAGUCCCUGGAGCGGAGGAUCAUCGACAUUGUCAUGCAGAGGAUGACCAUUGUCAACCUGGAGGCUGACAUGGAAAGGCUCAUCAAGAAAAGGGAGGAGCUGUUCCUUCUGCAGGAGACGCUGAGGAGGAGACGCGAGCGGCUGCAGGCGGAGAGCCCCGAGGAGGAGAAGGGGCUACAGGAACUUGCUGAGGAGAUCGACGUGCUAGCGGCCAACAUCGACUACAUCAACGACAGCAUCACUGACUGCCAAGCCACCAUCAUGCAGCUGGAGGAGACCAAGGAGGAGCUGGACUCUACGGAUACAUCAGUGGUCAUCAGCUCGUGCUCCCUGGCUGAAGCCCGCCUCUUGCUGGACAAUUUCCUCAAGGCGUCCAUUGACAAGGGGCUGCAAGUAGCACAGAAGGAGGCCCAGAUCCGGCUGCUUGAGGGACGCUUGAAGCAGACAGACAUGGCGAACUCCUCCCAGAACCACCUGCUCCUGGAUGCUUUGCGUGAGAAGGCCGAGGCGCACCCUGAGCUGCAGGCCCUAAUCUACAAUGUCCAGCAAGAGAAUGGCUACGCAAGUACGGAUGAGGAGGUCUCAGAGUUCUCUGAGGGGAGCUUCUCCCAGUCAUUUACCAUGAAAGGCUCCACCAGCCAUGACGACUUCAAGUUCAAGGGUGAGCCCAAGCUCUCUGCUCAAAUGAAAGCUGUAUCAGCUGAGUGUCUGGGGCCCCCUCUGGACGUCUCCACCAAGAACAUCACUAAGUCCCUGGCCUCUCUUGUGGAGAUCAAGGAAGAUGGCGUGGGCUUCUCGAUCCGGGACCCCUACUACAGGGACAAGGUCUCACGUACCGUCAGCCUGCCCACCCGGGGCAGUACUUUUCCCCGGCAGUCCCGAGGAGGCGCGGACACGUCCCCUCUCACGCGGAGAAAGUCCUAUGACCGAGGGCAGCCCAUCAGGUCCACAGACGUGGGAUUCACACCCCCAUCGUCCCCUCCCACUCGGCCGCGCAAUGACCGCAACGUUUUCUCUCGUCUCACCAGCAAUCAGAGUCAAGGGUCCGCACUGGACAAGUCUGACGACAGCGAUUCCUCUUUGUCGGAGGUCCUGAGGGGCAUCAUUACCCCCGUCGGAGGAGCCAAGGGGGUGCGGACGGCCCCGCUGCAGUGCGUCUCCGUGGCCGAGGGCCACGCCAAGCCCAUCCUCUGCCUGGAUGCCACCGACGAGUUACUUUUCACUGGGUCCAAAGACCGUAGCUGCAAGAUGUGGAACCUGGUGACAGGGCAGGAGAUUGCAGCUCUCAAGGGCCACCCCAACAACGUGGUCUCCAUCAAGUACUGCAGUCACUCAGGGCUGGUGUUCUCUGUGUCCGGCUCCUACGUCAAAGUGUGGGACAUCCGGGAUUCAGCCAAGUGCAUUCGGACCCUCACGUCCUCGGGCCAAGUGAUCUCAGGAGACGCUUGUGCGGCCACAUCUACUCGAGCCAUCACCAGCUCCCAGGGGGAGCAUCAGAUUAACCAGAUGGCUCUCAGCCCCUCGGGCACCAUGCUGUAUGUCGCCUCUGGCAACGCUGUCCGAAUCUGGGAGCUCAGCAGGUUCCAGGCCAUUGGCAAGCUGACAGGUCACAUUGGCCCUGUGAUGUGUCUGACAGUCACCCAGACGGCCAACCAGCAUGACCUUGUGGUGACUGGCUCCAAAGACCACUAUGUGAAGAUGUUCCAGCUGGGCGAGUGCGUGACGGGCACCAUUGGGCCCACCCACAACUUUGAGCCCCCACACUAUGAUGGCAUUGAGUGUCUGGCUAUCCAGGGAGACAUCCUGUUCAGUGGCUCCAGGGACAAUGGCAUCAAGAAGUGGGACCUGGACCAGCAAGAGCUCAUUCAGCAAAUCCCCAAUGCUCACAAGGACUGGGUGUGUGCCCUGGCCUUUGUCCCGGGCCGGCCCAUGCUGCUGAGCGCCUGCCGGGCCGGCGUCAUCAAGGUUUGGAAUGUGGACAACUUCACGCCCAUCGGUGAGAUCAAGGGCCACGACAGCCACAUCAAUGCCAUCUGCACAAACAGCAAGCACAUCUUCACAGCCUCCAGUGACUGCCGGGUAAAGCUGUGGAAUUACGUCCCUGGACUCACUCCCUGCCUUCCUCGCCGAGUCCUGGCCAUAAAGGGCCGCGCCACCACCCUGCCCUGACCCUCCCCAGGGCUCUCCCCUCCUCUCUCAUUGUUCAUCCCCUCUUGCCUUUUCCUGUCUUUUCCCUACUUCGAUCUGAGCUGCUUCUUCACGCGACCUGACAGUGAAGUUCUGGAGCGUGCGGAGGCUGCCGGCAGCCCACCCUCGAAGUUAGGCCAGAGGGGGACCAGAGCCUCAGGCCCAGCAGUCCACACAGAGUGAAAGGGAAGCUGUGGCCUUGACCACACCACACUGGCCAGCUGCACUGGGGACAGAGGGUGUGGCCCCGCUCCUAUUCUGCUUCCUCUCCCUUGGCCUUCUCCGGGGAUACUGUCCCCUCGGUCCCUCCCCUGCCUCUUAGGAGCUUCUUGGUAAGAGGAGAGGCUGGGGAGGGAAUUAAGCUGUGAAGCCAAAGGGCAUUAUCCCCCACCUAGUCCCAACUGAGCCAUCCCUGCCCUCCCUCCAGGCCCUCAGCCUAGGAUUCCAUCUAUAUUCCAAAGAGUUGGCUUCCAUAUCUCCCAGCCCCACCACUGGAGCCACUGCACCUGCCUCUGAGCCCAACAAGGUAGUUCUCAGGUAACCAUGGCAACCAGGUGUAGGCAACUGGACAUUAUAGCUGAGCCUGAACCCUAUGGCCACCAACACACUAGUCCCAGUGGGGUCUAGCCAUUCCUUGAGGUCCGAUUCCGGUGGGGCCACAGUGGGACUACUGGAUGGAUUCCUCUGGGGAGAUGGUCAGGGACACUUCAGUCGUUUAAUUUAUUUUGACUCCUACGUUUCGCUGUUGCCUCCUGGAAACUGACUUGAAGUUUCUUCCCACAUGUUCUCUCCCUCCGCUCUUGGGGAAUUUGAUCCCCUGGCACUCGAGGCCCCUUCUGCAGAGGAGGGAACUGCCCCUCCACUCUUUGCAGCUCUGGCUUUGUCCCAGCUCUGCCCCCAGGGUCCCUUCCAGUGCAGCCCAAGCCUCUAGGCCGCCUGAUGCCACAGUGCCUUCCUCCAUCCCAGGGCCUGGCACCAUGUUGGGUAGCCUUAUGCCAGCCAUACCCAUGACCCAUGCAUGUUUUCAUCUUGUGGGUCUGGUGCCCACCCCACGGCCCAGGGCUAGGGAGCCAUACUUCUUAGAACCAUGUGUGGUCCCGUAGGAAGCAGUUUGGUGGGCUAUCCACUAGGAAGUGGCUUGGGCGGUGAGACUGCCUGGCACCUUGCCCACCACCUCAGCCAACUGCAUUUUCAUCCCCACAAGGGAAGGAUUUCCCCAGCUUCUUUCCCUUUCAUUCAAUGUCUGUCCCCACUCUCACCCCAUUGGAACACAUGGAAAUGGGCCUUGAGGAGGGGGGGGGCAACUCCAUCCCUCACCACCCCCCACCCCGAGCUGGUCCAUGCUGUUACUCUAUAGCUUCGCUGGCCCAGCUCUUCCUGGCCUCAGUCUGGGAACCAUGAACCCCAACUCCGUUCAGAGGAUACGUGGACUUCACAAAGCCAGGGCCAUCGGGUCCCAUCCACAUAGCCCUAGUGUAGGUGUCAGGCCCAGCUAAGGCUGAUGAGGCCUGCCCUGCCCUGGGCCUUCUCCAGAGCAUCCCUGGAGCUGGGGCUGAGAAGGCUGUCUGGACAUGGUGUCAAGUCUAGGUGAGGCACCUGGAGUGCUGGUGUCCUGGAACUUGAACAGUCUGUCUGUGAUGACCAGAAAUCCUUCCUCCAUGCAUUCCUGGAGUGCUGGGAAAUUCCCUCAGCACUCAGAAGUGACCCAUUUUUCUCCUUCUCUUCCUCCUCCUCCUCCAUCCUGCCUCCUCCCCACCUGAAUGGAAAGCUUGGACUUUGUUCCCUGUAAGAAAACCCAGAACCCCUCUGCAUGACUGUUUACAAAGUGCAGAAACACGUGAGACUUGUGCCCUUCCCCGUGGGCCGGGCUGCCCAGCCUGGGGCACCUGUACUGUAGCGGCAAGGCCAGUUCUUGCAUGACGACGUGUGGUCUUACAGCCCCGCGAGAGGUGCUCAUCAUCACUGUCCCUUCCGCCGUUUGUGAUGGGUCACUACCUCAGGGUGGGGCUGCUCUGCUGUCCCAGCAAGUGUCAUCGAUUAAACUUGAAGUCCUUUGGAGCUCUGAGCCCAUCCUCCCUGAGCCACCCUGAGCCGUGCUCCGGGAGCACUAGCAUCCCUACCCACUCGUUCAGGGAUGCCCAAGGUACAGACGGGCAGGCCCCCAGCUCCAUUCAUUGCACAAGCAUCCUAAAUGUUGGAAGCACAAACUGGCUAUAAUUUGAGCACAAAAGCAGGACUCACUGCGCAGGCAAUGCAAGCUAAGCCUGGGCCCAGGAGCCUCCUCCCCUGUUGGCUGUGCCCCAGAUUAGACUAGGGGUGCCUGUGUUUGGGGCUGGCUGGUCCUUCUACUUCUAGGACUCAUCCUGUUACUUGUGCCCAUCCUAAGACUUGACAACCAGCCCACAUUUGUAUGCUAUGGGGUCCUCCCUUAGGUCGCACACCCCAAGCCUUUAAAGGCCUGAAAUGGGCUCCCCUCCUCUACGCACAUCAGGCCUGAAGAACUUGAAUCCAUGCUCCCAUCUCCCGGGCCGAGCCUCUGUCUUUGCUUCUGAAAUCGAUGAGCUUCUGCCUGGACGGAAGGUGUCUUCUGUCCCCAUGCCUUGGGCCUCCUCUGCACAGUCCUGGGCCAGAACACCUUUCUAGUAUUAAUCAGUUCAGUGUUUGUUCUUGUUGGAGAGAUGACUUUCCACACAGAAGCCAAACAUCCUCAAAGGCCAGGCCCAGAGCAGCCUCUGGAGACUGCCAAGGAGUGAGGGAAAGCCAAGAGGCAGAGGCUGGCCCAGCCCAGCCCUUCAGGUGGUCACAGUGCCACCACCAGCUACUUGGGAAGGACAGCUGUGGAUCUGGGAGUGGCCACCCACCCUCCCGGGCCCCAGCUGCCACCUUUGAACUCUCUACCCUAAGCUGUCUGGCCCUGCUGUUCACCUGAGGCUGUGUGGUUUGGGCCAUGGUCAACUUAAAGCACAAAACCACACAGGGCAGAUGUCCACUUGCUGGGGCGUUCUCAUGCCCCCCCCACACACAAUGUGUCACGAGCACAGGCAGGAGGCUGCUGUGCAGUUGGGAUAUUACAUCUCUUUACCCUGGCCACUUCCCAACUCUUGGGGCCUCCCUUGGAGUCUGGCUGGAUGCAGGCAUUCCCCCCUUGAUUGUUCAGACUUUGCCCCUGUCUGGUAUAUUUGUGUGGGUAGACUGUGCCCACCAGGAGCAAUGAAUUCCUUUCCACCACGCAGCCCAGACCUGUGACAUCUGUCCCUUUGUCAUCUCAAACAGGGAAAUCUUUUGCUGCUUUCUUUCCAGGGCAUAGCCCCUCACCCAUCAGUGGCCAGUGCCCCUUACAGGCUUUCCUGAGCCCAGCCCUCCCCCGCUGGCUCCCAGAUCUUCACUUCCCUCUUAAGUGGAAGAACAGAAUCUGCAGGGAAAGUUCUGUUUCUUUGGCCUCUUUGCUCUGUAUCCCAAGUCCACCCAUCUCCAGUGCUUGAAUGAUCCCCAAGCCUCCCCACACACGCCUUAGUUCAGCCCUUCAAACUUGUGUCCUAAAGGCCUUGACAGAAAGUGGGGAGUAGAGGCUGUUACGGGUCAGAGAAGACUGCUGGAGCAAACUGCUGUCCUGCCCUGCCCUGCCCACCAGCUUUUUUCCUAGCCAUUGCCCCUGCCCAGGCUGUGGGGUCUCUUGGCUCAUGCGCUCUUCUGCAGUGUGGUAGCACAAGGUGUAUAUAUGUUUUGUACCUCUGCCGAUACUGUACAUAGUGUAUGAAAGUUAUUUAAGCCUCAUCGCUGUACAUUUCUGUUUGAGAUUGGAUGUGUGUGUGUUCUAAGGACUUGUCAUAAAUAAAACGUGAAUGACCAUUGUC